rnacentral:rRNA from 1 species
GAUGAACGCUGGCGGCGUGCCUAAUACAUGCAAGUCGAGCGAACGGACGAGAAGCUUGCUUCUCUGAUGUUAGCGGCGGACGGGUGAGUAACACGUGGAUAACCUACCUAUAAGACUGGGAUAACUUCGGGAAACCGGAGCUAAUACCGGAUAAUAUUUUGAACCGCAUGGUUCAAAAGUGAAAGACGGUCUUGCUGUAACUUAUAGAUGGAUCCGCGCUGCAUUAGCUAGUUGGUAAGGUAACGGCUUACCAAGGCAACGAUGCAUAGCCGACCUGAGAGGGUGAUCGGCCACACGGGAACUGAGACACGGUCCAGACUCCUACGGGAGGCAGCAGUAGGGAAUCUUCCGCAAUGGGCGAAAGCCUGACGGAGCAACGCCGCGUGAGUGAUGAAGGUCUUCGGAUCGUAAAACUCUGUUAUUAGGGAAGAACAUAUGUGUAAGUAACUGUGCACAUCUUGACGGUACCUAAUCAGAAAGCCACGGCUAACUACGUG